UAGGGAAUCUUCCGCAAUGGACGCAAGUCUGACGGAGCAACGCCGCGUGAGUGAAGAAGGAUUUCGGUUCGUAAAACUCUGUUGUUAGAGAAGAACAGCGCAUAGAGUAACUGUUAUGCGUGUGACGGUAUCUAACCAGAAAGCCACGGCUAACUACGUGCCAGCAGCCGCGGUAAUACGUAGGUGGCAGGCGUUGUCCGGAUUUAUUGGGCGUAAAGCGAGCGCAGGCGGUCAAUUAAGUCUGAUGUGAAAGCCCCCGGCUCAACCGGGGAGGGUCAUUGGAAACUGGUUGACUUGAGUGCAGAAGAGGAGAGUGGAAUUCCAUGUGUAGCGGUGAAAUGCGUAGAUAUAUGGAGGAACACCAGUGGCGAAGGCGACUCUCUGGUCUGUAACUGACGCUGAGGCUCGAAAGCGUGGGUAGCAAACAGG
rnacentral:rRNA from 1 species